rnacentral:rRNA from 1 species
CACGUAGGCACCAAGCGUUGUCCGGAUUUAUUGGGCGUAAAGAGCUCGUAGGCGGUUCAGUAAGUCAGGUGUGAAAUCUUUGGGCUUAACCCAAAGCGUGCAUUUGAUACUGCUGUGACUUGAGUUCGGUAGGGGAGUGGGGAAUUCCUAGUGUAGCGGUGAAAUGCGCAGAUAUUAGGAGGAACACCGGUGGCGAAAGCGGCUUCCUGGUCCGACACCGACGUUCAGGCACGAAAGCGUGGGGAGCAAACAGG